rnacentral:rRNA from 1 species
AACGAACGUUGGCGGCGUGGAUUAGGCAUGCAAGUCGCGGGAAUCCCAGCAAUGGGGGAACCGGCGUAAGGGGCAGUAAUGCGUGGGUACCUACCCCGGGGUCCGGGAUAGCCGUCCGAGAGGGCGGGUAAUACCGGAUGACCUCGGGAGAGCAAAGCUCCGGCGCCCCGGGAGGGGCCCACGUGAUAUUAGCUAGUUGGUGAGGUGACGGCUCACCAAGGCGGAGAUGUCUAGCGGGUGUGAGAGCACGACCCGCGCCACUCGCACUGAGACACUGGCGAGACACCUACGGGUGGCUGCAGUCGAGGAUCUUCGGCAAUGCGCGCAAGCGCGACCGAGCGACGCCGCGUGGGCGAUGAAGGCCUUCGGGUUGUAAAGCCCUGUCGAGGGGGAGAAAAGCGGGAAACCGUGUGAUCUAUCCCUGGAGGAAGCUCGGGCUAAGUUCGUGCCAGCAGCCGCCGUAACAC